UACGAAGGUGGCAAGCGUUGUUCGGAUUUACUGGGCGUACAGGGAGCGUAGGCGGUUGGAUAAGCCCUCCGUGAAAUCUCCAGGCUUAACCUGGAAAGUGCAGAGGGGACUGUUCAGCUAGAGGAUGGGAGAGGAGCGCGGAAUUCCCGGUGUAGCGGUGAAAUGCGUAGAGAUCGGGAGGAAGGCCGGUGGCGAAGGCGGCGCUCUGGAACAGUUCUGACGCUGAGGCUCGAAAGCGUGGGGAGCAAACAGG
rnacentral:rRNA from 1 species